GCGACGCGCAGCGCAGCGCCAGCCGGUCGGCCGCGCGCGCCACUCGCUCUCUUCUCUCUCCGACUCUGUCAACCUUUCGCCUCCCGGGAAGGCGGAGCUGUCGGUGCAAGGGGACGACUUCACGCGCCAGAUAUGGCAGAUGUACGCCACCUUUGAGGAGCUGGUCGAGUCUCGGGAUGGGCGCGCGCCACGCGCCUCCAAGUCGCGCGCGCGCCCGCGACACGCCCACGCACACGCCCACGCCCACCACAGGCGUGCCGUGAUCGGUGGUAGUGCUUUGGAACUGGGCGCCAUGUCGGGCCCUGCGGCGCCGGCGGCGUCUACGUCUGCGUCGACGUCGGCGUCGGCGACGGCGG